rnacentral:rRNA from 1 species
GACGAUCGCUGGCGGCGUGCUUAACACAUGCAAGUCGAACGCUGAAGCUCAGCUUUUGUUGGGGGGAUGAGUGGCGAACGGGUGAGUAACACGUGAGUAACCUGCCCCCUUCUUUGGGAUAACGCCCGGAAACGGGUGCUAAUACUGGAUAUUCACUGGUCUUCGCCUGGGGGUUGGUGGAAAGGGUUUUUCUGGUGGGGGAUGUGCUCGCGGCCUCUCUGCUUGUUGGUGGGGAGAUGGCCUACCAAGGGUUUGACGGGUAGCCGGCGUGAGAGGGAGACCGGUCAUAUGGGGAGUGAGAUACGGCCCAGACUGGUAGGGGAGGGAGCAGUGGGGAAUAGUGCACAAGGGGGGCAAGCCUGAGGCAGCGACGCCGCGUGAGGGAUGGAGGCCUUCGGGUUGUGAACCUCUUUCGCUCAUGGUCAAGCCGCAACAAUGGUUGUGGGGAGGGUAGUGGGGAAGAAGCGCCGGCUAACUACGUG